rnacentral:lncRNA from 1 species
GGAUCUCGGUGUUGGACCAGGAGCAGCUCUCGCAGGCGAAGGAGCUGACGAUGAUCUCUUUGAAGAAGGGGAUCCUGGUGAGCAGGAGCCGCGUCACCCCGUUGCGGAAGCAGUUCAUGCACAGGGACUCGAUCUCCGCCGGCUGCUGCUCGCCGUCCUCGGCGCUGAGGGGCCGAAACAAGGCAGGCCCCCCAGGAGCCGCCGCCUCCACCGCGCCCAGCGCCGACAUGUUGGCCGGGCCGCUC